rnacentral:rRNA from 1 species
UACGGGGGGAGCAAGCGUUGUUCGGAUUUACUGGGCGUAAAGGGCGCGUAGGCGGCCACCGCAAGUCGAUUGUGAAAUCUCCGGGCUUAACCCGGAAAGGUCAACCGAUACUGCGGGGCUAGAGUGCAGAAGGGGCAACUGGAAUUCUUGGUGUAGCGGUGAAAUGCGUAGAUAUCAAGAGGAACACCUGCGGCGAAGGCGGGUUGCUGGGCUGACACUGACGCUGAGGCGCGAAAGCUAGGGGAGCGAACGGG